rnacentral:rRNA from 1 species
ACGGGAGGCAGCAGUGGGGAAUAUUGCACAAUGGGGGAAACCCUGAUGCAGCGACGCCGCGUGAGUGAAGAAGUUAUUCGUAAUGCAAAGCUCUAUCAGCAGGGAAGAAAGUGACGGUACCUGACUAAGAAGCCCCGGCUAACUACGUGCCAGCAGCCGCGGUAAUACGUAGGGGGCAAGCGUUAUCCGGAUUUACUGGGUGUAAAGGGAGCGUAGACGGCUUGGCAAGUCUGAUGUGAAAGGCAGGGGCUCAACUCUUGGACUGCAUUGGAAACUGUUAAGCUCGAGUGCCGGAGGGGUAAGCGGAAUUCCUAGUGUAGCGGUGAAAUGCGUAGAUAUUAGGAGGAACACCAGUGGCGAAGGCGGCUUACUGGACGGUAACUGACGUUGAGGCUCGAAAGCGUGGGGAGCAAACAGGAUUAGAUACCCUGGUA